rnacentral:rRNA from 1 species
GCCCGAAUCCUGACACAGGGAGGUAGUGACAAGAAAUAACAAUACAGGGCUACUUCUAGUCUUGUAAUUGGAAUGAGUACAACUUACAUCUCUUCACGAGGAUCAACUGGAGGGCAAGCCUGGUGCCAGCAGCCGCGGUAAUUCCAGCUCCAGAAGCGUAUAUUAAAGUUGUUGCAGUUAAAACGCUCGUAGUCGGGUUUCGGGUCGGGCCGAGCGGUCUGCCGAUGGGUAUGCACUGUUUGGCGCGGCCUUCUUUCCGGAGACCGCGGCUACUCCUAACUGAGCGGGCGUGGGAGACGGAUCGUUUACUUUGAAAAAAUCAGAGUGUUUCAAGCAGGCAGCUCGCUCUUGCAUGGUACAGCAUGGGAUGAUUGAAUAGGACUCCGGUGCUAUUUUGUUGGUUUCGAACACCAGGAGUAAUGAUUAACAGGGACAGUCAGGGGCACUCGUAUUCCGUCGAGAGAGGUGAAAUUCUCAGACCAAUGGAAGACGAACCACUGCGAAAGCAUUUGCCAGGGAUGUUUUCACUGAUCAAGAACGAAAGUUAGGGGAUCGAAGACGAUCAGAUACCGUCGUAGUCUUAACCAUAAACCAUGCCGACUAGGGAUUGGAGGGUGUUCGUUUCGACCUCUUCAGCACCUUACGGGAAACUAAAGUCUUUGGGUUCCGGGGGGAGUAUGGUCGCAAGGCUGAAACUUAAAGGAAUUGACGGAAGGGCACCACCAGGAGUGGAGCCUGCGGCUUAAUUUGACUCAACACGGGGAAACUUACCAGGUCCAGACAUUGUUAGGAUUGACAGAUUGAGAGCUCUUUCUUGAUUC